UUUCUGUAAAAACAACUUCUGAACAGGACAUCUUUGUGGAUGGAUAGAAUGGGGUUUGGUCAGGGAGGGAAGGGCCAGAGUUCUUUUAAAAACUAUACAUCACAGUUGGUAAGUUCAAGACAGCGUUUUUUGUUGAGACAUCAAUGGGUUUACCUGGCUUGAUACAGGAAGAAGGUAGAUUAUUAUAACUGUUUUCUUUAGGAGGUAGAUCAGCUUUAAUAUUGCAUAUCUAUAGAUCGUAGCUUCCAUCAAUGUAAUUGUCUGCAUCAUGUCCAAUUCCCCAAGGUUAAUUUGUUGAUUGCAUUGCCUUUGACGUGAUCCAAUAAAAACAACUGUUCACAAAAAAAGGACAUAUGUUUUUGGCGUUUUAACCAUCACUGUUUAAUGACUCCACAAUUAUAUCUGACACAAACAGCUAAACAUGAAUGACAUGAACUGUGAAGAUAGUGGUGCAGCAGCAUAGAAGAACCACAAACAAAAGUAGAAUACAAAUCUGUGCAUUUGAUUUUCAUAAACCAACCAAUACAUGAAAAACAACUAUUGGUGUUGUUGUAGCUUUAAACUACUAGAUAAUUGAUAUCUACAAUGGAUAGAUCAGGAGAAAUUGACCAUUUCAGUUGUGCAAGCUACAGAAGUUUUUGGAGCAGAGAUGAGACCGUCAAGCCUAUAUCAAUGAUCUUUGUAAAGGCACCAGUCAUAUUUUUAUGGUAACCAGGCCACAAUGGCACAAAUAGGGGCUUCAGCCAGCCGAUAUGCCCCCAGCAAGUUCAGACGUCAGAGGUGGAUCCUCCACCUGCCCAGAUGUCAAUCCAAUGUCAGAUUAAAAUGUAACAUGUAUACACUAAAAGUGCCAUCAAACAAUGGCAUCUUAAUAUACAGUUAAAGUUGGAAGUUUACAUACACCUUAGCCAAAUACAUUUAAACUCAGUUUUCACAAUUCCUGACAUUUAAUCCUAGUAAAACAUUCCCUGUCUUAGGUCAGUUAGGAUCACCACUUUAUUUUAAGAAUGUGAGAUGUCAGAAUAAUAGUAGAGAGAAUGAUUUAAUUCAGCUUUUAUUUCUUUCAUCACAUUCCUAGUAGGUCAUACGUUUACAUAUAUUCAAUUAGUAUUUGGUAGCAUUGCUGUUAAAUUGUUUAACUUGGAUCAAACAUUUCGGGUAGCCUUCCACAAGCUUCCCACAAUAAAUUUAUUGUGGGUGAAUUUUUGUCCCAUUCCUCCUGGCAAAGCUGGUGUAACUGAGUCAGGUUUGUAGGCCUCCUUUUUCAGUUCUGCCCACAAAUAUUGUAGAGGAUUGAGGUCAGGGCUUUGUGAUGGCCACUCCAAUACCUUGACUUUGGUGUCCUUAAGCCAUUAUGCCACGACUUUGGAAGUAUGCUUGGGCUCAUUGUCCAUUUGGAAGACCCAUUUGCGACCAAGCUUUAACUUCCUGACUGAUGUCUUGAGAUGUUGCUUCAAUAUAUCCACAUAAUUCAUACCUCACAAUGCCAUCUAUUUUGUGAAGUGCACCAGUCCCUCCUGCAGCAAAGCACCCCCACAACAUGAUGCUGCCACCCCCGUGCUUCACGGUUGGGAUGGUAUUCUUCAGCUUGCAAGCAUCCCCCUUUUUCCUCCAAACAUAACGAUGGUCAUUAUGGCCAAACAGUUCUAUUUUUGUUUCAUCAGACCAGAGGACAUUUCUCCAAAAAGUAUGAUCUUUGUCCCCAUGUGCAGUUGCAAACCGUAGUCUGGCUUUUUUUAUGGCGGUUUUGGAGCAGUGGCUUCUUCCUUGCAGAACGGCCUUUCAGGUUAUGUCGAUACAGGACUUGUUUUACUGUGGAUAUAGAUACUUAUGUACCUGUUUCCUCCAGCAUCUUCACAAGGUCCUUUGCUGUUGUUCUGGGAUUGAUUUGCACUUUUCACACCAAAGUACGUUCAUCUCUAGGAGACAGAACGCGUCUCCUUCCUGAGCGCUACGAUGGCUGUGUGGUCCCAUGGUGCUUAUAUUUGCGUACUAUUGUUUGUACAGAUGAACGUGGUACCUUCAGGCGUUUGGAAAUUGCUCCUAAGGAUGAACCAGACUUGCGGAGGUCUACAAUUAUUUUUCUGAGGUCUUGGCUGAUUUCUUUUGACUUUCCCAUGAUGUCAAGCAAAGAGGCACUGAGUUUGAAGUUAGAAGCUUGUAAAGCCAUGACAUCAUUUUCUGGAAUUUUCCAAGCUGUUAAAAGGCACAGUCAACUUAGUGUAUGUAGACUUCUGACCCACUGGAAUUGUGAUACAGUGAAGUAUAAGUGAAAUAAUCUGUCUGUUAACAAUUGUUGGAAAAAUGACUUGUGUCAUGCACGAAGUAGAUGUCCUAACCAACUUGCCAAAACUAUAGUUUGUAUAGCAAUUUGUGGAGUGGUUGAAAAAUGAGUUUUAAUAACUCCAGCCUAAGUGUAUGUAAACUUCCGACUUCAACUGUAUUAUCCAGGUGAUGACUUGGUGAGAAAAAUUGUCAAAAUCAUAUCUGGCGUCAGGUAAGAUAUGUCUUUAAAACCAUGUAAAAACAAACAAUUUGUGUGACAGGUUUUGAUCAUGUAGCACAGUGGCAGCUACAGGAGCAUGCAGGGAAAGACAGCCGUGGAGAAUGGCAACAGAAUGUUCCCUGAGAAUAAUUACAAAAGCCUAAUAGAUUUCAAAUUCUGUCCAUGACCUUUGACAUUGUGGUAACUGAAGUCCACACGGUAAGUAGUGACCGAGCAUUCAUCGAUCUCUACCAUCAUCAUCAUCAUCAUCAUAAUAGUCUUGUGUUAUUAAUACAAGAAUAAUCAAUGCAGAGCUGAAUGUCUGAUAAAUACAGCGCCCACAGUGAGAAGGUUGGGGAUUUGGGGGGAAGGUGUUGGACAGGCCCAAUGUUGCCAAGUUACAUCCUUUUAAGAUUCAGAAAAUCCACCAUUCCCCUGGCACAGCUCCAGGUCUAUUAUGUGGCUUUCAAAAGGGUACUUACAUCAAAGGCCACUUUUAAAAAAAGUCUAGGAGAUACUUGAUUGUCAUCUGUGUUACAAACAAUGACUGUUUUUUCUGUACUGAUGUUGUGCACAAAUUGACUUGGUGUUAGGAUACACCAAGUUUAAUUAACAUUCCCUAUUGUAAUCAGUGUUUUAUAUUAAAAUGGAGAAUGGACUAUAGUUAAUUAUUAAUGAUGUCAAGACAACGGGAUUACAAGCCACACAUUUGAUGUGAACAAAAACCCCUGACAUGACUAGUAUGAACUUCAUGGACACAUUCAUAUACAAAUAGCAUGUACGACACUUCAACUAGAUUUAAAUAAUGGAAGACUAUGGGAAAUUGAUUGUUGCAAGCAAUCUAGUGAGUUUGAAAGUGAGUUCCUUAAAUAGGCUCCUCAAGGUAAAUAACAAAACCAUGACUUCUCUAUCAUUUAUGGUUCUUACGGUCUGUCUGUCCAUUGGUCCGUCUUCCACAGAUAUGUUUUAAAUGUGUUUUUAGAUCUACUCUCACAGAAAACAUCUGAUGUUGACCAUUGAAGGAGGCAGAAAAUGUAUCCAAUGUACAUUUUCAAAACAAAUAAAUAUAUUGCGGCACAUGAAGCAUUUUUCGGUUAUUGUCUGUGAACACUCAGACUUUUCCCAUUCGUUAAAUUGGACCACAUUUGUCUGCAUCAUUUAGGACAAUAGAACACUUAGUAAAACAGAGAUAGGGUAAAACCCUACUUUGCAAAUAUGGAUGAGAUUAUUGAUAAAUUAUUACUAGGCAUCAAACAGCAGUAAUUUCAACAGUGCUGCCCCCAUUGUUUUCUACAAUGAAAAAGACUUAAAUGGAUUUCGUUGACGAUGCAAAUACCAGUGUGUGUGUGUGUGUGUGGGCACAGCACUCUGGGGUUGGCAGGGGCGGAAGCGGCUGAAUGUGUGUGUGCACAUGAAAUGGAGCCGGAAUCUCACUUACAGGAAACAGUUAGGGAUUGGUCAUUAACAAUGAGAAAUCAAUUGCUUGUUGUGAUGUAACUAUCUAUGUAUGCACCACAAUACAAUCCCUGAAAUUUGCAGGUUCUCAGGGUCUGCAAAAGGCAUUCUACUGUACGCGUAACCAAUAGAAUGGUGAUAAACUCACCCACACAUCUUGAGUGACUUUUUCCCAUUCUAUCCAAUGUGUUUUUGUUUCACUAUCCAUGCUAUAUGAGCCCAGACAAAAAAACAAUUAACCAAACAACAGUACUAAAAACCAUUCAAUAAAUAACCUCAACCCAUUCUAAAAGAAAUUGAGUGGCUUCUUGAUACCAGAGGCUGUACCUGCCUGCCAGUCGGCCUCUCCUCAGCAAUCCUGGUCACUAGUGGGACGGAACAGUAGUAGACUGCUCUGUGUGCUCUGUGAGCCUUCAGAUCCAAAGGCUGGAGGAGGAGCCACAGACAGUUUUCUGGUGGACAUGAAGUAGAGAGGAGCCCACUCUAAAGCAUGGUUCUUCUCAGGCUGGGGCUGGAAACUGGUGGGGCGUGUUGGAAGGACCCCUCCCCCAACCCUGUGUCCCCUCGCUGGGCCACGUCUCUGGAGCAGGGUCCUGACCACACUGUCAUGGUCCUCAGCUCAGAGCCAGCGGCCUGUCCCCUGGGUGCGCUUCCGUCUCUUCUUACAGAUGUAGUAGAUAGGGAAGGCCACGAGGCCUGAGGAGAGAGCGGAGCAGAGCAGAGCAGGAGAGAACAGGCAGGUUAAUAUAUAGAGUGAGCAGUAAUCUCAGUGAAAUGACUGACAGUUAAUGCAUGCAAAUGAAGUGACAACUCCCACAAGGAAGUGGCCUUUUAUUGUCCCCAGCACAAGGUGCACCUGUGUAAUUAUCAUGCUGUGAAGGGGCGGCAGGUAGUCUGGCGGGUAGGAGCGUUGGGACAGUAACCCGAAAGGUAGCUGGAUCAGUUCCCCAAGCUGACAAGGUAAAAAUCUGUCGCUCUGCCCCUGAGCAAGGCAGUUAAACCACUGUUCCCGGGCGCCGAAGACGUGGAUGUCGAUUAAGGCAGCCCUCCGCACCUCUCAGAUUCAGAGGAGUUGGGUUAAAUGCGGAAGACACAUUUCAUUGCAUUCAGUUGUACAACUGACUAGGUAUCCCCCUUUCCCUUUAAUCCACUUCUUGAUAUGCCACACCUGUCAGAUGGAUGGAUUAUCUUGGCAAAGGAGAUAUGCUCACUAACAAGGAUGUAAACUAAUUUGUGCACAACAUUUGAGGGAAAUAUGCUUUUUGUGCGUAUGGAAAAUUUCUGGGAUCUUUUAUUUCAGCUCAUGAGACAUGGGACCAACACGUUACAUUUUAUAUUUUUGUUCAGUGUACAAUAUUUUUUAUCUGGAAACUUUCUAUUUUUGAUAUUGUUACUAUGCAAGUAACCAUUUCACUGUACCAUUUACACCUUCUGUAUAAUGUGCCUGUGACAAAUAAACGUAGAUUUUAUUUUAUAUAGUGUGUGUUUACCAGAGACGGUAAUGUGAAGAACAGCAUGACCUGAACCAAAGUCAGACUGGGAUAUAGGCCAAGGACUCAAUAAAGUGUAUUUUUACCUGGAGUUUUUGAAAUCUUUGGUUGUUUACUACACUACUUUACUCACUCUGUUUAGCACGUGACCUCACAUGAGAAUCCUUAAAGAGAUGGGUGGGGCUAAGGCUUAACCUGUUAGGGCUAGGGGGCAGUAUUGACACGGCCGGAUAAAAAACGUACCCGAUUUAAUCUGGUUAUUACUCCUGCCCAGUAACUAGAAUAUGCAUAUAAUUAUUGGCUUUGGAUAGAAAACACCCUAAAGUUUCUAAAACUGUUUGAAUGGUGUCUGUGAGUAUAACAGAACUCAAAUGGCAGGCCAAAACCUGAGAAGAUUCCGUGCAGGAAGUGGCCUGUCUGACAAGUUGUGUUUCAUCUUGGCUCUUUUUAUUGAAGACUGAGGAUCUUUGCUCUAACGUGACACUUCCUACGGCUCCCAUAGGCUCUCAGAGCCCGGGAAAAAGCUGAACGAUAUCGAGGCAGCCUCUGGCUGAAACACAUUAUCGCUUUUGGCAAGUGGCCGAUCAGAGUACUAUGGGCUUAGGCGCGUGCCCGAGUCGACUCUAUGCUUUAUUUUCUUUCGUCUGUUUACCUAAACGCAGAUUCCCGGUCGGAAUAUUAUCGCUUUUUUAUGAGAAAAAUGGCAUAAAAAUUGAUUUUAAACAGCGGUUGACAUGCUUCGAAGUACGGUAAUGGAAUAUUUAGAAUUUUUUUGUCACAAAUUGCGCCAUGCUCGUCACCCUUAUUUACCCUUUCGGAUAGUGUCUUGAACGCACGAACAAAACGCCGCUGUUUGGAUAUAACUAUGGAUUAUUUUGAACCAAACCAACAUUUGUUAUUGAAGUAGAAGUCCUGGGAGUGCAUUCUGACGAAGACAGCAAAGGUAAUAACAUUUUUCUUAUAGUAAAUCUGACUUUGGUGAGUGCUAAACUUGCUGGGUGUCUAAAUAGCUAGCCCUGUGAUGCCGGGCUAUCUACUGAGAAUAUUGCAAAAUGUGCUUUCACCGAAAAGCUAUUUUAAAAUCGGACACAUCGAGUGCAUAGAGGAGUUCUGUAUCUAUAAUUCUUUAAAUAAUUGUUAUGCUUUUUGUGAACGUUUAUCGUGAGUAAUUUAGUAAAUUCACCGGCAGUGUUCGGUGGGAAUGCUAGUCACAUGCUAGUCACAUGCUAAUGUAAAAAGCUGGUUUUUUU
rnacentral:lncRNA from 1 species